AUCGAACUGUACCAUUCUAACCCCGUGGAUACCAAUUCAGCUAAUCCUAUCUGUUGUGGCUUCAUACCUGGACUUCUACCAACUGGACCUACUAUAAUCAAAUGUCAAGAUGGGGUUAUGGGACGUUUUGUUAAGAUUUUUAUUGAGAAAUCAAAGUUUAUGACUUUAUAUGAAGUUGAGAUAACAGGCCAUAAAGUUGAUGAUAUUUCUGGUCCACAGAACACGUGUAAUGUGAACGGAUGUAAACGAUUUCCAAAUGGACCGAACAUUGCCUUGGGUAAACCGACUGUACAAAGCACAACUCGAUAUACUUGGCGGCCAUCAUCACUGGCUGUGGAUGGUAGUAGAAAUGGUGAUAUUCUUCAGUCUCCAAGCUGCAGCCUUACUGACC